GUGAAUAUAGUUUAACCAAAACAUUAGACUGUGGUUCUAAAAAUAAGGGUUGAACCCCCUUUGUUCACC
rnacentral:tRNA from 1 species